rnacentral:rRNA from 1 species
UACGUAGGUGGCAAGCGUUGUCCGGAUUUACUGGGCGUAAAGGGCGCGCAGGCGGUUCUGUUUGUCGAGUGUGAAAGCCCCGGGCUUAACCUGGGAACUGCGCUCGAAACGGCGGAACUAGAGUUCGGGAGAGGAGAGUGGAAUUCCCAGUGUAGAGGUGAAAUUCGUAGAUAUUGGGAAGAACACCGGUGGCGAAGGCGGCUCUCUGGGCCGAUACUGACGCUGAGGAGCGAAAGCGUGGGGAGCGAACAGG